UGUAUUUUGAAAUAAUCUUGUCCGUUAUGUGUUCGUUCGUACGACGAAAGGCAGAAUCCUGCAGCUCCAGAGAUACAUGUUAUUCUGCCAGUCGCGCUUUCAAAUAGUCUUGCACACUUAAACAGGUCACAAACACCUGCAUUUAGCUCUUGUUGUGUUACAAUGGGUUGAUUGUGUGAUAUCGCUGUAAUAAUUUAUUUUUAAAAGCUUUAAAACAGGAAUAAAUUCGUUUUCUCUGAGCUCUUUACUCCAGACGCUCGUGAUCACAGCGGUGAUUCAUCUCUCCUAUUUCUCACGUAUCUCUGGCCAGAAAUAAUUUAUCCAUGAGCCCUGAACCGGUAAUAAUCAGAUAUGUUGGUUUAGCUUGUCAGUGUGAAUUAAAUCUAAGUAUUUGUUUGUAUUUUUAACCGAUUUAAAAGUGAAAGUAAAAGUCCGGGAAUUGAACCUGUAGGGGCGCUAUUUCUCUCAGACAAUGGAAGUCUGAAGCACAUAUACUCAAACAGAGGGACAGAAGUGAGAUGAGAUGUCUGACAGUUUUUUUAAUUUUCUGUUAUCCAUACAGUGUUGUAAAGUCGUGAAACUAUGCAUAUUUCCUCAGAAUGACUUUUUCAUCUGUAUGAAAAAAUUCUUUGACGUGUUUGGAAGCUGCAAUUUAAAAAUACAAUAAUGAUUCCCUUUGUAAGGUCAUUUUAAAAAAUCACCACGGCAAAACCAUUCAAGCUAUCCAAAAUCCAUUCACAAUUUAAGUUCCUAUCAGAAAUACUGAUGUGUGUUCAGAGUUUUGUGAAAUUCUAAGUAUGUUAUUUGCCUCAAAAUCACCUGAGAAGUAUUCCAGUUUGACAUGUUGCCACGGCAACAAUUUUUUAGAUAUCAAUAUCCCCCUUGCAGAUUUAUAUCGGCUGUGUUUUAACAUUAUUCUAAUGAAGUUUGAAGCAAAUCGAGUAAUAAUAAGAUGCUGAAUUCAAAUCAUUUUGAAAAUGACACACUUCCUUCUGCCAGUUGGUGGCGCUAUAACUUUGACUCCUAAUAGUCACAUAUAUGCGAUCGACAUCAUACAACGAAUAAUCUGAUGAAGUUUGAUUAAAAUCAGGAAAUGUAUGUGGACGAUAUUAGACACUUCCUGUUUCUCAUUUCUCGCCAUAAUUUCAACGCCUCGCCACGAGCAAACCGUUCGAGAUAUCAAAAAUCCCCUGGCAAUUUUUCAUCCCCAGUGUCUUGAGAUCAUGUUGACCGAGU